rnacentral:rRNA from 1 species
GACGUAGGGCGCGAGCGUUGUCCGGAUUUAUUGGGCGUAAAGAGCUUGUAGGCGGUUUGUCGCGUCUGCCGUGAAAAUUCGAGGCUCAACCUCGAACUUGCGGUGGGUACGGGCAGACUAGAGUGUGGUAGGGGAGACUGGAAUUCCUGGUGUAGCGGUGAAAUGCGCAGAUAUCAGGAGGAACACCGAUGGCGAAGGCAGAUCUCUGGGCCGUAACUGACGCUGAGGAGCGAAAGCAUGGGGAGCGAACAGG